AUCUACACAUCUGGUUUAUUACUGUGGUUCUGAAACUGACGCUAUGUAAAUGCGCAAUAAUUCCGAGAAAUAAGAAUGAUUUCUUGUAAUCAAAUACAGCUCAGUUUCUUGGAAAUAUUUUGUGCAUUUAAAAACAGUAAGCCGAUGGAUAUAUUUACAUGUUCGUAUUUCUGUGAAAAUGUUACUUACCUCAUACAGUAUCAAUUUUAUUGCGGUAUUAUUUCCUAUUUUGUUCAGGCUAUAUCGUGUACAAAAAAGUGGUUAGCAUAAAAAUGUGUUUAUAUUGUUCUGAAUCCGAGUUGAACAAGGGUUAGAUUAAAAAAGAAGAAGGGAGUGUAAUUUGAAACUUUUACAAGUGUGAAUAAGUACGACGACCACUUAUUACUUUUCUCCGAUACGAUCGUGAAAAUAUUUUAUAUAAACGAGGGAAAAAAAAAGAAAUGAAAAUAGUUAUGAUCAGUGCUCUUUCCUUUGAAGUAUUCAUCAUAAUGGAGACACUACUGGCAGUUUCGUACAGUUCCGGAACCAAAACUUUUGAUGUAAUUUCAGAUGACGGUUCAUCUCUACCUGUAAAAGAGUACCGGUCUCAUUUAAUUCCUGUCAAACGUUAUGCAAUACAUAAAAUAUGCCGUACAUUUGAGGGAAAGCAAUACCUGUACAGGACCAUGAAGUCAAAAUUUUGCGGAAUUGGAUGUAAGUAAAGACUACUUACAAAGUAACGUUUACUAGCCAUUUUGUUAUGGAUUUAUGUAGAAGCCAGCAUAGGCGUCUGUUGAUAAAAUGGGUGAAGGAAUUAUUCGAUAUCGAUCGCGACGGAUAUAUUUCACAUUACGAGAAAAACUUGUACUUAUUUGACGAAUAAUGUUGGGUACACUAAAAGAAAGGAGGAUGCACGCAAGUUGGAAUCAUCUAUUGAAACCGACAUGUUCUUUGUUGUACAUCAGUGACUGAAUAUUUCAAAGCGUAAAGAUAUGAGAACAUAAACCAAAUUCACAAACUUUACAACGUUUUUGAAUUGCCGAUUUUGGCGUAAGAACAAAGAUAUUUGUGAUAUCAAUCUAGCAGAUACAAGUUUGCACAGUUUAUCCGUGAUAUUUGCAGGGCGUACUUGUAUAACGUUUCGGUUUUAGAGAUAUAAUCACGCCUCUGUGCACAGAAAUAGCAUGCAUAACUUACGACAUGUGAUCAAACGAGAGAAAUUCUAGAGUGGAGACAUGCAUCUAUCAGCGAGUAUGCAGUAAAAUAAUGACUCUUGUGCACGGCUUGUUGCUGGUCAUAUCAGUGAGUGCCUAUGGAGUAUAUCUAGCUUGUAAAAUGUUUACUUGAACAUGUAUUAUAAUAUUGCAGAAACUGACUCUCAGGUGAAUGAUAAAUUAUAUAUUUUUCAGUAAUUAAAGGUUGCCAGUCAAAAGUCAAAACUUUUCCCCGAAUGCAGAAGGACUACUGAGGGCCAGUACGUUUGAAUGUGUAUGUUGGCAUAUUUCUGCCAACCACAUAAUCACUUAUUUAUAUAGAGUAUUUUUCGUAUCAGAUAUUUCGUAAACAAAAGCACCAGAAAAUAUCGGCAGAAAUUCAAAAUGUUCUAUUUUUAGCUAACUGCAAUCAACGAAGCUUUUACAAUAUCCCCUUAUUUAUGUGAAUGUGUGAUGGGAGUAGUGUGCACUGACAGGCAGUUUUGUCCUAUUAAGAUGAUUAUCUUGACAAUACGAAACUUUUCCACUUGCCAGAUAACUGGAUAUGUUACAGUUUUAGUGAAUACUGUUUACAUAAAUAAGUGAAUGUGUAACUGACAGAUAAUACCAACAUAACUUCGUGUUUGACAUCAAAAAUUAAUUAGGAAAAUUUAGUGUUGAAUGAAUGACCGAUCAAUAGCAUAAGAUAUGGCACGGCAUUUUUUAAGGAGACGUAUAUACAUAUAUUAUGUUCGAAAUAUCUGAAACAUUUGAUAACAUAUGUCUCUCCAGCUAUACUGUGCUCCUAACAAAUAAAUUAUUGUGUGAAUGAGGCAAUACAAAUCAAAAAGUUUUCUUUUAUCGAGUCUUUUACAGGACUAUUCGUUUUGUUGAUUUCCUUAAAAACGAUGUAACACCAUUGCUAUUAAACAUUUUAUUCAUAAUUUAAGGAUGGAAACACUUGUUGACAACUGUACAUGUAUAACAAAAAUCUGAUAUUCUUGAAAUACAUCUGAGAAAAGAAUUAUAUUUUAGGAAUUGAUGCGAAAAAUACGACAGAACCUGACCGGCAAAUCCAUGAAUUGUCCCAAAAUAUUUCAUUUAUAUUUAUAUUUUAUUUCUUUAAAUUUUUUUACCUAAAUCUUAUUUCGAUGUAUGAAUUAUGUAACAGUCAGUUUUGUUUUUACACUGGCCGCGUCAAAAUUAGUCUACACUAACUAUUGUCUUUUUCAAUAAUGCACCGUCUUUGUCAGUGUUUUCCCAAGGUUUUCUUUUAUUUACUGUUUUAUUGGAUUUGUAAACGUACUUGUGAAGAAAUUUUACCAUCGUGGCCAAAAGGACUGCCCUUAGGAAAACGUUGUUUAUUUCAAUCAAUUAUAAUCGAUUGAUGUCAAAUGUUCUGGAGACGUCACGUGAGCUUAGAAAGAGAUUAAAAAAAAAAAUAUGUAGUAUCAGUGAUUUUCUGUUGUAAAUAAUGAUUUUAUUAGAUUUACAGAUAUUGUUGUUAUUGCAUUUCAGAUGUCAAUAUUCACUAAUGCCAAUAGCGCGUUACUAUGGUAUAAGGGUACAAGUUUGAACUAUGAAACGUCAGACAAUCUUAUUAACACCGUUGGUAGCUAAAAUGGUUAUUGGUUAUAAUGGUGCUAUGUUAUUGUAACUGCAUAAUACAUGAAUAACAUAAAAUUGUAGAAUCAGUUUAUACUACUCCCGCAAGAUAAUUUAAAGGACAGCAUGUUUAUAUUAUCGUUUGAUUGUUAUGGUUCUCAUGCAUAAUUGAACUCAAAAAGGUUGUCAGUGAUAGACGUUAAGUGCAUACUGUAAUGUUAUACAAAGGUAUUUUCUGUAUUGAAACGUUUUAAUGAAGAAAAAUCAUAAUUAUCAAACAUGUUAACCUUUAAGUUAUCAUGCGGGAUUUAUACUACUCGUACAACCAACAAAUACUUGUACACAACUGAGGCUAUACACCGUGGUCAAUAGCUAAGCUGGUGUUAUAACAUUGUUAACAAUUUUGGAUAAUACGGAAACGACAAUGUUGAUUUUAUUGUUUGUUGUUUAUGGUUGUAAAUAUAAAAUAUGUCGUUGUUGUUUAUAAUACUGAGUUAAUACAAAACAGAC